GGGCCGGAAUGGAUUUGACAGCGGGAGGAGGGGUGUGCAAGCACGCAGUGCGCCGAGGGGCGGCACUUUAAUCUCGGUCCUCAAAAAAUUUAACUGGCGAAAACAACUACGCUCUCGCUGCAUAGUCUGAAGUACAGUAGGACGGCUUUAUUCGAGCUCCAGGAGCUUGAACGAGACAUCGCCCAAGAAGCCGUUUUUUCCGAGGCGUCUUGACCUGGCGGUGCAGCAAAAUCGGGAAUAACAGUGAGUUGCCUCGCGCUCGCUGCGAAACUUUUAGAGGAUAAGGCCAUGGUAGGCGGCUCCGCUCUCGCCUUGGCACGAAAAUUUUAGCGGAGAUAAGCGUGUAGAAAACAUAUUCAUUCCCCGUUUGGACGAGGGUUCAAUCCCCUCCCGGUCCACCA
rnacentral:tmRNA from 1 species